CCAGGCAUUAACUCAAUACCGAACUCUAUUUCUCGAAUAGGUGGCAGUCCCGGUAAUUCUUCUGAAAACACAUCCGGAUACUCACAUACAACAGGUACUGAUUCAAUAUUUCUUUCAGCCACUUUACUGUCGAGCACAUAGACAAAAUAAGCUUUACACCCUUUCCUCACAUAUUUCUGAGCUAGCAUCGAAGAAAUCACUACUGGUAGCC
rnacentral:lncRNA from 1 species